GACGUAGGGGACGAGCGUUGUCCGGAUUCAUUGGGCGUAAAGCGCGCGUAGGCGGUUUGGUAAGUCGGAUGUGAAAACCCGGGGCUCAACCCCGGGCUUGCUUUCGAUACGGGCAGACUAGAGUAUGGCAGGGAGACUGGAAUUCCUGGUGUAGCGGUGAAAUGCGCAGAUAUCAGGAGGAACACCGGUGGCGAAGGCGGGUCUCUGGGCCAUUACUGACGCUGAGGAGCGAAAGCGUGGGAGCAAACAGG
rnacentral:rRNA from 1 species